rnacentral:rRNA from 1 species
CAGUCGCCGCGGUAAUACGUAGGUGGCAAGCGUUGUCCGGAAUUAUUGGGCGUAAAGCGCGCGCAGGUGGUUUAGUAAGUCUGAUGUGAAAGCCCACGGCUCAACCGUGGAGGGUCAUUGGAAACUGUUAAACUUGAGUGCAGGAGAGAGAAGUGGAAUUCCUAGUGUAGCGGUGAAAUGCGUAGAGAUUAGGAGGAACACCAGUGGCGAAGGCGACUCUCUGGUCUGUAACUGACGCUGAGGAGCGAAAGCGUGGGGAGCGAACAGGAUUAGAUACCCCUGUAGUCCCUGUCUCUUAUAC